rnacentral:rRNA from 1 species
CUACGGGUGGCUCCAGUGGGGAAUAUUGCACAAUGGAGGAAACUCUGAUGCAGCAACGCCGCGUGGAGGAUGACACUUUUCGGAGCGUAAACUCCUUUUAUAUAGGAAGAAGAUGACGGUACUAUAUGAAUAAGCGCCGGCUAACUCCGUGCCAGCAGCCGCGGUAAUACGGAGGGCGCAAGCGUUACUCGGAAUCACUGGGCGUAAAGAGCGUGUAGGCGGAUUAAAAAGUCCGAAGUGAAAUCCUAUAGCUUAACUAUAGAACUGCUUCUGAAACUCUUAAUCUAGAAUAUGGGAGAGGUAGAUGGAAUUUCUGGUGUAGGGGUAAAAUCCGUAGAGAUCAGAAGGAAUACCGAUUGCGAAGGCGAUCUACUAGAACAUUAUUGACGCUGAGACGCGAAAGCGUGGGGAGCAAACAGGAUUAGAUACCCUAGUAGUC